rnacentral:lncRNA from 1 species
CCAAUUUGAAAAAAUAAAUUGCUCAUCGCGGCGCAUUGAUUCGUCACCACCAUAAUCACCUUCAAUUUCCUUCAAAAACCAAUUAAAACCUCAAAUUUGGAGAGACCAACCUCCAAAUUACAGACUCGGUACUUGCUCACUCAACAAGCAGAAAUUUGUUAUACAGGUGACUCAGUGCAGCUCCAUCUUUCGGGUUAAAUUUCAAAUCUGAAACACAGAGAUAUGAGGUGAUUUUUUUUGGAAUUCAACCUCCUCCAUCAGGCCAAAAAACCCAGAUAACAUCUCUCUGAUUCUAGUUCGAUCCGCCAUCAUGGAUGUCUGAAUAGGGACGCCAUGGCCUGGGUUUAAUACGCCACCUAUGAUUUUCUGUUUAUAUGUGCUUGAUGUUGAUCGGAGGUGGGGAGGGAGAAAGGGAGAGAAGGAAACUUGGAUGAGGAUUUAGUGAUGCG